GAGAGGCGUCCAGGACAACAAGAACUGCUAAUUCGCACUGCCGAAGUUAAACUCUUCGGGCCACUCA
rnacentral:tRNA from 2 species